CUCAUCAUCGUCAAGAUUAAAUGACAAGAAAUCAGUGUUAAUGGAAUCGCCUGGAAAGGAAGAAGAAGUACAACAGACGCUAGAACUCUACUCUUCAGUCGAUGAGGAACAUAUAUUGCAGUAAUGAAACCAAGAAAAGUUUACAUAAGGAGACCCCCUCGGCCAUUUACAUAUGCCUCUUUGAUACGACAGGCUAUUGUAGAAUCUCCUAACCAUAACUUAACAUUAAGUGAAAUCUAUCGAUGGUUACACAAUGCAUAUUCUUAUAAACAGAUUGAUGAUAUAACCACAAUGAAGAACAAUGCCAGACAAGUUCUUAGUUUUAAUAAAUGUUUUUUUUCCGAGUAACAAAUGAAAAGAAUGAAGGAGUAUGGACAGUUAAUGAGAAGGAAUUCGACAAACUUAAAGCACCACAUAGAAGAUUAGAUGUGUAACAUAAUGUGAAGUCCUUCAAACGGUUUGGGUCCAUAAAAUUAGUAUAUAUUGUAUGUCAGCUGAUCAGCACAUCAUGUGUUCUUUUGUCUGUUUCAAUUUACUGCGAUGUUAUAGGCAUUUAUAACUAAACAUGGAAACAUAUAAACAGACUUUAUGAUACAAAUUUGUUGACAGCAUGAUUUCUUCAGUAAAAAUCUGUUUGAUUAAAUAUGUUUAGUUCCUGUAAUUGAAAAUCAUUUAAGUAUGUCACUUAUUCAGUUUUCUAUGCUUUUUACAAACAAUAUUUGUAGUGUGUUCAAUUAUGGGAACUGCAAAUAUUUGUCUUGGUCCAGAGAGCUUUGAUCUGAUCACUAUCACUCAUGGUAAAAUAUUUGAAAUAAAAGGCCAACCCAUGGUAAAAUCAAUAUAAAUUCAAGCCCCUAUAAGUUAUUUCUUAAUUAACUGUAUCUGGGUAUAAUACCAAGCAUGAAUAAUUCAAAUCUUAUUUACAAAAUAUGUUAUCGUACUCAAUAUGCAUGUAAUAUUUGCUACUGGCUAUUAAGCAGCCACUUAACUAUCUAUAUUUGUAUGCUAGUUGCAGUGAUCUUUUCUACCUUUUUAUUUUCAUUGUUGCUGUUUAACCAAAAGAAGUAAAAAUGGUCAGCAAUACAAGAUCAACGAAAUGAGAUUUUUUAAUUAUAUCUAAGUCUCCAAUGUUGGAAAUGUGCAUAGAUCCAGAACACCAAACAGCAACCAGAGCAGAAUGACCAUCUUUACCAAGUAUCACAAGAAGCUGCUGUAAAUUUUGAAGUUGAUGACUGAAAUGAAGAAUUAUGAAGAAAAGCUGGCCAACCAGAGGACAAUGAACAUCAUUACCAAGUAUCACAGGAUACUGCUCAUAACAUUAAUGUUGAUGGCUGCAAGGAAGUAUUACCUAGAAAAGCUGGUGAACCAGAGCCUGUACAAAAACUACAGAAUCUUGUGAACAAAAAAGGAAAAUGUUGGCAGAUUCAUCAUCCACACAGGUACUACGGGACUUGGAAAUUUCACUUCGUACCAAUCAUACAGAAUGGGUACGAGAGAUUUUUGAGUGAAGAAAACCAUGGACUAGAUGUUUUAGUGGACUAUUUAUCAUUUACACAGGUUGUCAUGAGAAGGGAGCAAUUACUUAACAAAGAGAAGAGUGCUAGUCUAGAUGGAUUGUCUUGGAGUCCAACACGAAGACUUAAGCGAUCAAAUACAAUAGGUUCUCCCCGAAGUAUCCAAAAUUCCAAAUUAAAUUUUGGGAGGCCAGAGAUGAUGUUCAUGUUUGUAUCGUGUGUUUAUGUGCCAUAAUGAACCAUCAGAGGCCAUUUUGAUCACAUUAUCAUCACUAUGACAACAACUUCACAGGAACAGAUCUGCAGAUUCAUGACAAAAAUAAAUUGUUUGUUUUAUCA